UAUGAUGUCACCCUUCUAGAAGCCACAGAAAUGGAAAAAUAAUUUAUUCAAAACUAGGUCUGAGGAGAUGGAAGGGCCCAUUGGUCUCAAGUCAUCACCUCUUCAGGUACAGAGAUGGAAGGAGUGGAGAUUUGAAGUUCCCCUAGGAGCACAAGAGAGCUCCCAGUAGAUAAAAGAAGCUAUUCUACUGGGCACUGUGAAUUUGGCCACCAAUCAAAGUUCAGAUUGUCCCUAAGCAUUACUCACUUCUACAAUCAUAAAUUUCAGAUCAUCAUAGAUGUUUCACAUGUCAACAACUAAAAUUACAUUUGACUCAAAAUUUUCCAUCAAUGUGACAAGUAUGUUAUA